rnacentral:rRNA from 1 species
GCCUACGGCCAUACCACCCUAGGAAUGCCUGAUCUCAUCUGAUCUCGGAAGCUAGGCAGGGUCAGGCCCGGUUAGUACUUGGAUGGGAGACUGACAGGGAAUACCGGGGGGUGUAACAA